ACACGCACACACACACACACACGCACACAUACACACACUCCCCUUCCCUUCCCUCCCCACCCCACCCCCGCAAACGGCCUCUCGCUAAAUGUAUUCUCUGUGUAUUCAUGAAACAGACUGAGGAAUGGUACAGAUCAGAUGAGGAUGACAGCCAUAUUUUUGUUGCUUUGAUAAUUGAUAAGCUCUCUUGGUUCGCAGCUCCACAUUCCCAGCCAUGGACUAAAAGCUCUAAAGUUGUCACUGUAUGUUCCACAUUUUAGCUGCUGUGUCUGUUGGGGAUGUUAGGGAUGUUAGGGCUGUUAGGGCUGUGGUGGGCUGUUGUGGGCUGUUAGAGCUGUUAGAGCUGUGGUGAGCUGUAAGAGCUGUUAGGGCUGUGGUGAGCUGUUAGGGUUGUUAGAGCAUUUGAGGCUGUGGUGAGCUGUUGCAGCUGUUGGGACUGUGAUGAGCUGUUAGGGCUGUGGUGAGCAGAUAGGGCUGUUAGGGCUGUGGUGAGCUGUUAGGGUUGUUAGAGCGGUUGGGGCUGUGGUGAGCUGUUAGAGGGGUUAGGGCUGAGGUGAGGUGUUAGAGCUGUUAGGGCUGAGGUGAGGUGUUAGAGCUGUUAGGGCUGUGGUGAGCAGUUAGAGCUGUUGGUGCUGUUGGGGCUGUGGUGAGCUGUUAGGACUGUUGCAGCUUUGGUGAGCUGCAGGGCUGCGGUGAGCUGCUAGGGCUGUUAGGGUUGUUAGGGCGGUUAGGGCUGUGGUGAACAGUUAGGAUUGUUAGAGCUGUUGUGGCUGUGGGGAGCUGUUAGAGCUGUUUGGUCUUGUGUGAGCUGUUAGGUUUGUUAGGGCUGUGGAGAGCUGUUUGGGCUGUUGGGGAUGUGGUGAGCUGUUAGAACUGUUGGGGCUGUGGUGAGCUGUUAGGGCUGUGGUGAGCUGUUAGGGCUGUUGGGGAUGUGGUGAGCUGUUAGGGCUGUGGUGAGCUGUUAGAACAGUUAGAGGAUUUGGGACUGUGGUGAGCUGUUAGAACUGUUAGAGCUGUUAGAGGAUUUGGAACUGUGGUGAGCUGUUAGAACUGUUAGAGCUGUCAGGUGUGCUGAGCUGUUAUAGCUGUUGGGGCUGUGGUGAGCUGUUAGAGCUGUUGGGGCUGUGGUGAGCUGUUAGAGCUGUUGGGGCUGUGGUGAGUUUUUAUAGCUGUUGGGGCUGUGGUGAGUUUUUAUAGCUGUUGGGGCUGUGGUGAGCUGUUAGAGCUGUUAUGGCUUUUAGAACUGUUAGGGAUGUGGUGAGCUGUUAGAGCUGUUACUGCUGUAGUGAGCUAUUAGAGCUGUGGUGAGCUGUUAGAGCUGUUAGAGCUACUAGGGCUGUGGUGAGCUGUUAGAGCGGUUGAUGCUGUUGGGGCUGUUGUGAGCUGAUAGAGCUGUGGUGAGCUGUUAGAGCUGUUGGGACUGUUGGCGCUGUGGUGAGCUGUUAGGACUGUUGCAGCUGUGGUGAGCUGCAGGGCUGUGGUGAGCUGCUAGGGCUGUUAGGGUUGUUAGGGCUGUUAGGGCUGUGGUGAACAGUUAGGAUUGUUAGAGCUGUUGCGGCUGUGGGGAGCUGUUAGAGCUGUUUGGUCUUGUGUGAGCUGUUAGAGCUGUUGGGGCUGUGGUGAGCUGUUAGAGCUGUUGGGGCUGUGGUGAGUUUUUAUAGCUGUUGGGGCUGUGGUGAGCUGUUAGAGCUGUUGGGGCUGUGGAGAGCUGUUCGAGCUUUUAGGGCUGUGAUGAGCUGUUAGAGCUGUUAUGACUUUUAGAACUGUUAGGGAUGUGGUGAGCUGUUAGAGCUGUUACUGCUGUAGUGAGCUAUUAGAGCUGUGGUGAGCUGUUAGAGCUGUUAGAGCUACUAGGGCUGUGGUGAGCUGUUAGAGCUGUGAGGGCUAUGGUGAGAUUUUUGGGCAGUUACAGCUGUUUGGGCUGUGGUGAGCCGUUAGAGCUACUAUGGCUGUGGUGAGCUGUUAGAGCUGGUAGGGCUGUUUGAGCUACUAGGGCUGUGGUGAGCUGUUAGGGCUGUUAGAGCUACUAGAGCUGUGGUGAGCUGUUAGGGAUGUGGUGAGCUUUUAGAGCUGUUGGGGCUGUGGUGAGCUGUUAGAGCUGUUAGAGCUGAUAGGGCUGUGGUGAGCUGUUAAAACUGUUAGGGGUGUGGUGAGCUUUUAGAGCUGUUGGGCUGUGUUGAGCUGUCAGAGCUGUUAGGGCUGUAGUGAGCUGUUAGAGCUGUUAGGGCUGUGGUGAGCUGUUAUAGCUGUUGGGGCUGUGGUGAGCUGUCAGGGCUGUGUUGAGCUGCAUGGGCUGUUGGAGCUGUUGGGUUAGUGGUGAGCUGUUAGAGCUGCUAGGGUUGUGGUGAACUUUUAGGGCUGUUUGGGCUGUGGUGAGUUGUUAGGGCUUUUGGGGCUGUGGUGAACUUUUAGGGCUGUUUGGGCUGUGGUGAGCUGUUAGAGCUGUGGUGAGCUGUUAGGGCUGUUAGAGCUACUAGGGCUGUGGUGAGCUGUUAGAGCUGUUAGAGCUGUUAGAGCUACUAGGGCUGUGAUGAGCUGUUAGAGCUGUUAGGGCUGUGGUGAGAUUUUGGGGCAGUUACAGCUGUUUGGGCUGUGGUGAGCUGUUAGAGCUGUUAGAGCUACUAGAGCUAUGGUGAGUUGUUAGAGCUGUUAGAGCUGUUAGAGUUGUUAGAGCUGCUAGGGCUGUGGUGAGCUGUUCGAGCUGUUAGGGCUGUUAGAGCUACUUGGGAUUUGGUGAGCUGUUAGAGCUGUUAGGGCUGUUAGAGCUGCUAGGGCUGUGGUGAGCUGUUAGAGCUGUUAGAGCUACUAGAGCUGAUAGAGCUACUAGAGCUGUGGUGAGCUGAUAGAACUGGUAGGGCUGUUAGAGCUACUAUGGCUGUGGUGAGCUGUUAGAGCUGUUAGGGCUGUUUGAGCUACUAGAGCUGUGGUGAGCUGUUAGGGCUGUUAGAGCUACUAUGGCUGUGGUGAGCUGUUAGAGCUGUUAGGGCUGUUUGAGCUACUAGAGCUGUGGUGAGCUGUUAGGGCUGUUAGAGCUACUAUGGCUGUGGUGAGCUGUUAGAGCUGUUAGGGCUGUUAGAGCUACUAGGGCUGUGGUGAGCUGUUAGAGCUGUUAGGGCUGUUAGAGCUACUAGGGCUGUUGUGAGCUGUUAAAGCUGUUAGGGCUGUUAGAGCUACUAGAGCUGUGGUGAGCUGUUAGAGCUGUUAGGGCUGUUAGAGCUACUAGAGCUGUGGUGAGCUGUUAGGGCUGUUAGAGCUACUAGAGCUGUUGUGAGCUGUUAAAGCUGUUAGGGCUGUUAGAGCUACUAGAGCUGUGGUGAGCUGUUAGAGCUGUUAGGGCUGUUAGAGCUACUUGAGCUGUGGUGAGCUGUUAUGGUUGUUAGAGAUUGGGGAUGUGGUGAGCUGUUACAGCUGUUUGGGCUGUGGAGAGCUGUUAGAGCUGUGGUGAGCUGUUAGGGCUGUUAGAGCUACUAGAGCUGGGGUGAGCUGUUAGAGCUGUGGUGAGCUGUUAGGACUGUUAGGGCUGUUAAAGCUACUAGAGCUGUGGUGAGCUGUUAAAGCUGUGGUGAGCCGUUAGAGCUACUAUGGCUGUGGUGAGCUGUUAGAGCUGGUAGGGCUGUUUGAGCUACUAGGGCUGUGGUGAGCUGUUAGGGCUGUUAGAGCUACUAGAGCUGUGGUGAGCUGUUAGGGAUGUGGUGAGCUUUUAGAGCUGUUGGGGCUGUGGUGAGCUGUUAGAGCUGUUAGAGCUGAUAGGGCUGUGGUGAGCUGUUAAAACUGUUAGGGGUGUGGUGAGCUUUUAGAGCUGUUGGGCUGUGGUGAGCUGUCAGAUAUGUUAGGGCUGUGGUGAGCUUUUAGAGCUGUUGGGGCUGUGGUGAGCUGUCAGAGCUGUUAGGGCUGUGAUGAGCUGUUUGAGCUGUUAGGGCUGUGGUGAGCUUUUAGAGCUGUUGGGGCUGUGGUGAGCUGUCAGAGCUGUUAGGGCUGUAGUGAGCUGUUAGAGCUGUUAGGGCUGUGGUGAGCUGUUAUAGCUGUUGGGGCUGUGGUGAGCUGUCAGGGCUGUGUUGAGCUGCAUGGGCUGUUGGAGCUGUUGGGUUAGUGGUGAGCUGUUAGAGCUGCUAGGGUUGUGGUGAACUUUUAGGGCUGUUUGGGCUGUGGUGAGCUGUUAGCGCUGUUGUGGCUAAUGAUCCUGUGGUGAGCUGUUAGGGCUGUUAGAACUGUUAGGGCUGUGGUGAGCUGUUAGGGCUGUUAGAACUGUUAGAGCU
rnacentral:lncRNA from 1 species